rnacentral:rRNA from 1 species
GAUGAACGCUGGCGGCGUGCCUAAUACAUGCAAGUCGAGCGAACAGACGAGGAGCUUGCUCCUCUGACGUUAGCGGCGGACGGGCGAGUAACACGUGGAUAACCUACCUCUAAGACUGGGAUAACUUCGGGAAACCGGAGCUAAUACCGGAUAAUAUAUUGAACCGCAUGGUUCAAUAGUGAAAGACGGUUUUGCUGUCACUUAUAGCUGGAUCCGCGUCGCAUUAGCUAGUUGGUAAGGUAACGGCUUACCAAGGCAACGGUGCGUAGCCGACCUGAGAGGGGGAUCGGCCAAACGGGAAAUGAGAAACGGUCCCGACACCGAAGGGGGGCAAAGGUGGGGAAUAUUUGCGGAAGGGGGAAAGCCUGAGCGAGACAAAGCGGGGGGAGGAAGAAGGGUUUAGGGUUGGAAAACCCUUUUUUUGGGAAAAAAAAAAAGGUGGAAAAAACUCGGCAGUUUUGACGGUACCCAAAGAAGAAGCCCAGGCUAAAUUAGGG